CGUCGCACCUACCGAUUGAAUGACUCGGUGAAAAAUUGGGACCGUGAGUCUGUUUGCUUUAUUGCGAGUGGAUUGAUGGGAACUUUUUUAAACCUCGCCAUUUAGAGGAAGGUGAAGUCGUAACAAGGUUUCCGUAGGUGAACCUGCGGAAGGAUCAUUA
rnacentral:rRNA from 1 species